UGACACGUGGACGGCGCUGAUGGCGGCCAGAACCUCUUGGGCGUCUUGGUCACACACGGCCAGGCUGAGCACCCCCAGGUCCCGCCACUCCUGCAGCAGCUGUGUGCCGGCACCACUUAAGUGACCCAUGAACCUCUCAAGAAACAGUUGGCCAAAAUAAUAAUGGCAGAAGUAAGACUAAGCUUUGAAGAAAGAACAUGUCAUAAAGUGUUACUGGAGGCACGAAAAUGUCAAAGAAGUGCAAAGACAAUUCACAAGACACUUUGACAGGGAUCCACCAAGGUGACGCGCCAUUGCUCGCAUCACAGCUAAAUUUGCAUCAACAACCACCACCACCACCACCACCACCACCACCAGCAUGGCAGUAGUAGCAGGAGUAGU